rnacentral:rRNA from 1 species
UACAGAGGUCUCAAGCGUUGUUCGGAUUCAUUGGGCGUAAAGGGUGCGUAGGCGGCGCGGUAAGUCGGGUGUGAAAUCUCGGAGCUUAACUCCGAAACUGCAUUCGAUACUGCCGUGCUUGAGGACUGGAGAGGAGACUGGAAUUUACGGUGUAGCGGUGAAAUGCGUAGAUAUGACAUAGAACACCAAUUGCGAAGGCAGCUGGCUACGCAUAUAUUGACACUGAGGCACGAAAGCGUGGGGAUCAAACAGG